UGAGAUGUGGCUCAGUUGGAAGAGCGCUUGCCUGGCACACUUGGAGCCCUGUGUUCCAUCCCCAGCUACACAU
rnacentral:tRNA from 1 species